CCUGGCCAACAUGGCGAAACCCCACCUCUACUAAAAAUACAAAAAUUAGUGGGAUGUGCUGGUGCAUGCCUGUAAUCCCAACUACUCGGGAGGCUGAGGCAGGAGAAUAGCUUGAACUCACAAGGUGGAGGUUGCAGUGAGCCGAGAUCGCACCAGUACACUUCAGCCUGGCUGACACAGCCAGACUCCAUCUCAAAACAAAACCAAAAAAAGAGGUUCCUCGCUGGCUGUGGUAGCAUGGUGUAGUCCCAGCUACUCAAGAGGCUGAGGCAGGAAGAUCACUUAAAGCCAGGAGUUUAAGGCUGUAGUGCGUUAUGAUUGAGCCUGUGAACAGCCACCGUACUCCAACCUGGGCAACAUAGCAAGAUCUCACGUCCAAAAAAAUUAAUUUAAUUUAUUUUCAAUAAGAGGCUCCUGAAGAGACGUUCCAUCACACCCUUCCUUUCAUCACCACAGUACAUACAUUCUUAAGAAAGUAUGUGAUCUAAGCUUGGCCAAUUAGAUGCUGUUACAUUUGAAUUUUGAAUCAAGAGACACAAAGACAAUACAAAUUGUUACAGUUUAUGCAGGCCAUAAAUUAUUUUUUACUUUUUGGCAAAUUGUUACAGUUUAUGGGGUCUACAAUUUAUUUUUUUAUUUUCUGGCUUAAGUUAUCUAGGAUUUGUUUCUGUGGUUUACAGUCAAAGAACCCAAAGACCAGAUCACUCUUGACUACCAUAAAAAUGAUUAAUUAUAAAGGGAUACAAGAAAAACAGGAGGCUGGGCACAGUGUCUCAUGGCUGUAAUCCCAGCACUUUGGGAGGCCAAGGUGGGUGGAUCACUUGAGGUCAGAAGUUCGAGACCAGCCUGGCCAACAUGGUGAAACCCCAUCUCUACUAAAAAUACAAAAGUUAGCCGGGCGUGAUGGUGGGCGCCUGUAAUCCCAGCUACUUGGGAGGCUGAAGCUUGAGAAUCACUUGAACCGGGGAGGCAGAGGUUACAGUGAGCCGAGAUCGCACCGCUGCACUCCAGCCUGGGCAAUAGAGCAAGACUGAGUCACAGAACAACAACAACAACAACAAACAAAAGCACACACACAAAACAGGUGAUAAGUUAGCUAUUGCCACUUUAAUUUUGGAUGGUUUAACUGACUGUCCUGAACUGACUGAUCCUGAACUCCUUCUGCAACACAAUAUGUAAAAAUGUUCAUUAAAACAUUGUAAAAUGCAUCUACAUUUGAGAGGAAAAAGUAAAACUCUCUAUUCACAGAUAACACAAAUAUACAGAAAAUCCUAAGGAAUCCACUAAAAAAUCAUUAGAAGUAAUAAAUGAACUCAGCAAGUUUACAAGAUACAGGAUCCACUGAGAUUCUGAUAAACAUGGAAGGCAAAAACAUUGAAACCGUCAUUUAUAAACUCACAUAGGCUCCAGUGAUUAUCUCUUCUUUUCUUUGUUAAAAAAAUGCAUUUAAAAAUCAUUCUAGAAAAUUGUUAGGCAAUGUUAAAUUUACCAAUAACUCUGACUCUUCUUUGCCCCUACCACUUUUUAUUAUCUUUGAAAAUCAAGACAAUAUUUGCCCUUCUUCAAUCUUUUAUCAUUUCUUAUUUUUCUCUGGCUUCUGGAAAGUGAGUAAUUACCUUUACGAUCACUUAUGAAAUCUCUUGCAUGGAUAAUUCAUUUAGGCCUAGAAACUCAUUUAAAGCAAUCGAUUGCUUGCUUACCAUGCUGGAUUUUAGUAGCCUUUAAAUCAUGUUUAUUCUACCUUUUUUCAUUAAAACAUUAGUCUCUUUGGGAGAGGAGACAAAUAAAUUAAAACUUGAGUUUUACCUUUUCUUUGUCAUCUGAUAGCAUUAUGUCAUCAGCACGAAGCAGUAGCUUCCAUCCUUUCUUGUUCACCCUCUUGUGGCAAGUAUUACUUGAAAAACAAAAAAAUAAAUUUAAAAAAAGUCUUUGUAUUCUUUUUAAAGGCAAAAAUUAUCUAAGCCUGCAGGGACAUUUCCAUUCUUAUAGGCUAUGGUACUCUUUAAAGCACGCUGUUUAAAAAAUCUGAUUGCAAUAAGUAUGUCCUGUGAAGUGACAUGCUCCUUAGAGUAAGAUGACUUGGCUUGCUGGCCACUCUGUUUGGCAGCCAGCCCUGGAGCUGGGUCAGUUUCCCCUGGCUCUGGCAUCACUCCUUCUCAGAUAAUUCCUUUCUCCCUGUGGCCAGUCAUUGUGGUGACAGUUAUUAUUCUUUUUCAUGAGCCUAGAAAAUUUAUGUGGUGGAUGUCCCUCUGAAUACUAGAUACUGCCACUGAAUUAGAAGAGAAUCAUAUGCACUUGUAUAUUCUGACAGCCAUGUCACUUACACCUUCUCACCUUUUGUCUCGUCCUAUUUGCUAUCUACCAUUCUACCACUGUCCAUUUCUACCAGCUGAAUAACUCUCUGAUGCAGGGGUUACUCUGCACCCUCAUCUCCCUUACUGUAGACUUGUUCCUUUUGAAUGAGAUAAAAUUUCCUUGACUUAUAAUAUUUCAGUCAUAAUUUCCUUGCUACCUCAUGUACCGAUACCUAUUGGAUUAUGUUCAUUUUGUUAAUUUUCCCAAGUUCAAUUUGCUUUACCACUAAUUCUCUCUUUCCAGGCUGAGAUUUCAAAAGUCAUCAGCAUUAUAUUUCACCUUACUUCUGUCUGUUUUAUUGAGUCCCAUCUGAAUCAGCAGAAGUGGCUGUAGGUUGGCUGGUAUCAUGAAUUUUGGCAGAUUAUGCUUCAUGAGUCAUCAUUCCACACUUUAGGAAGAUAACGAACUAGCCGUUGCAAGACUGCCUUCCUACUCAUCAGCAGAGAAAACAUGGACUUGGAAGCCAGGACACUUGCGUUCGUGUUCCUACACUGUCAAACAUCAUGAGCUAUGCAAAAUUUUUAAGUUGAUGUAUUUGGAUAUAGGCGAAGCUGCUGUAAUGGGAAUAUCCCAAGAGUCAUUGGUUAAAGAAAAAUAGAUGGUUUUUUGUUUGUUUGUUUUUGAGACAGUCUUGCUCUGUCACCCAGGCUGGAGUGCAGUGGUGCGAUCUCAGCUCAUUGUAAACUCCACCUCCUGGGUUCAAGUGAUUCUCCUGCCCCGGUCUCCCAAAUAGCUGGGACUACAGGUGCAAGCCACCAUGCACGGCUAAUUUUUGUGUAUUUCUAGUAGAGAUGAGAUUUCACCAUGUUGGCCAGACUGGUCUCAAACUCCUGACCUCAGGUGAUCUACCUGCCUCGGCCUCCCAAAAUGCUGGGAUUACAGAUGUGGGCCACCGCACCCAGCCUAGAUGUUUAUUUCCGAUUGUUACCUUAUCUACUCUGAUCAAAACAGUCUCACCAGCACCAUAUCCACAUUCUAGCCCAUGGAAAGGGUAAAGAAAAGAAAGUGGAAGAUAUUAGUUUCCAUUUAAGGAAGUGACAUGGAAAUAAUAUAAGUCACCUGUGUUCACAUUCCACUGGCAAAAAUUCAGUCACAGGAAUGUACUUAGCUGCAGAGGAGGCUAGGAUAUGCCCUCCAAAAACUCAGGGGGGAUGUCCUACUUGUAAAAGGAAGAAAUGAAAAAUGGACACUGAGAGGAAAUCAGCAGUCUCAGAGGUAAUAUACUUACACAGUUUUUUAAAAAACAUAAAAUGAUGCAGAAUGAAGUUUCCACUCUAUUCACCAUCUAUCCAGUCCUCAUGCCUCCCAACAAGAGGUAAAUACUUUAUUAUUGUGUCAUGUAUCUUUCCAGAGUUUUUCUAAGCAAUUUGCAACAGAUAUAAAUAUGUAUCCUUAUUUCCUACCUUACCCCAUAUUGUACAUGAAAGAAAAAAUAUACUAUGUAUAACAUUCUGUAUCUUUUUUUCACUUAAUAUAUUUUGCAGUUCCUUUUAUAUAGAUACAUAGUUACCUUCUUCAUUCAUUUAUACAGCUGCCUACUGUUUCUAAGGCUAUAUCACUGAUAAAGUCUCAUGGAUACACUCAAGGUUUUUUCAGUCUUUUAUCAUGAUAAACCAUGCCGCAAUAAUAACCUUGUACUAGUCAUUUUUAACAUGUGAAAGUAUAUCUGCAAGAUACAUUUCCAGAAAUGGGAUUAGCCAAUCAUAUGAUAUUAAGCCAACCUUUUGAUCUCUUUGAGCUGCAUUUGUUAACUAAUAAAUUAAGCUCAUAUUUACCUCAUAGGAUCAUUAUUAUAAUGAAAUAACCAUAUAAACAAUUAUUGUACAACAAUAUCAAAAACAAAAUAGAGAUAAGUUUAUCAAAAUAUGUGUAAGAUCUGUACUCUAAAAACCUAUAAAACUGUGUUGAGAGAAAUUAAAGGAAGCCUAAAGUAAUGGAGAAAUAUACCAUGAUCAUGGAUUGAAAGACUCAAUAUUGUUAAUAUGUAAUUCUCCCUAAAUUGAUCUACAGAUUCA
rnacentral:lncRNA from 1 species